GACGAACGCUGGCGGCGGGCUUAACACAUGCAAGUCGAACGGAAAAGCCCUGCUUUUGCGGGGUGCUCGCGUGGCGCACGGGAGAGAAACAUGUGAGUAUCCUGCGCAUGACUUUAGGAUAACUUCAGGAAACCGGGGAUAAUACCGGCUAGGAGCUCCUGCUACAUGGGGAGGGUUGGAACGCUUGGGCGGGUUGGGAUGGACUCGCGGGUUAACAGCUGGUUGGUUGGGUACUGGCUAACCAGAUCAUUGGCAGGUAGCCGGCCUGGGAGGGGGGACGGGCACAUUGGGACUGAGAGACGGACCAGACUCCUACGUUGGGCAGUAGUGGGGAAUAUUGCACAAUGGGCGGGAGUCUGAUGCAGCAGCGCCCCGUUCGUGAUGACGGCCUUCUUGUUGGAAACCGCUUUCGGCUGUGACCAAGCUGGAUUGACGUUAAUGGGUGAAGAAGCACCGGCUAACUACGUG
rnacentral:rRNA from 1 species